rnacentral:lncRNA from 1 species
AAUGACAAUGGGUACGAUCUUCAGGAUAUUGUAGAAUUAUCUUUUUUGGUCUAUAGUUCCAUUCUCUUCAUUUUUCUUUCCUCGUCCUCCUGUAGUAAACUAUGAUGCUCGUAUGGCAGCAUUGCUGGGUCUCUGUUCUGUAGUACAGACUAACUUGUAUCUAAUUUUAACGCUGCUAGGCCUCUGGCCUGGUAGUCACCACCAUGCGGGAGAACCCUUGACCUUCCACCAAAAUUUGCCACAAUAUGUGGCGGUUUUAAUUGGUUUCCUUCAAUCGAGUCUAUAUUCAGAUUGAAUCCCCCUCCCCUUGCCCCGUAGAUUAUGCUAGAUUAGGUUAUAGGAAUUCUAUCGUUGUGAAAAAAAAAAAAAAUUAUCUAAUUUUAAUGCCUUUUUCCUUUAUCUGUUUUGGUUUUGUUUUAAUGGCUGAAAUCGGCCCAAUCUAGCUCGGGCAGAAGCCGACCGUGAUUUGAGUUGAAAUUCAAGUCAAUGGCUGAGAUCAGCUUUAGGUCUGCUGGGCUGAUCUCGGCCGUUAAAAGACCUCUGCAGUUGCACCUACUACCACAGAGUAUCCGCUUACCAGUGCACCUCUCCUCCCCUGAGAAGGUGUAUUGUGAAAUAUCGUGUAGUGACGUUACAUUUUCUCUACACUUAAAUUUUGUGUUGAGAGUCUUAACAACAAAACAUUAAAUGAAAACGAGUUUUCAGAUGGAAUCUAGCCACCCUCACGCAGAUGACUCCCAAGGUAUUUCUGAGAACAUUUUCUUCCUACUCCAUAACCCUCUAUAUGCUCCACAAAAAUGGUUGUCCUUUGAACUAUCAGUUUUGCUAAGUCAUAUUUACCUCCUAUUUUCCAUGCACUCAUGCAACAAAAGUGUGUCAUCUGGCUCUGGACUUGGACCAAUCCUCACUCUCCCCUUUUAGCAGCAACAUCAUCCAUCAUUAGACAGACUUAGUCGAUGAAAUAAGCAUUGUUGUUUAAUUUGUUAGUUAAUCAAGUUUUGCAGUUCUAAUCUGCUUGGUUUGUGGAGAAACUUGGUAUUAAUGUUCCAGUGACAAUUUACUGCCUAAAGACUUUAUGAAAAGUUGGUAUUAAAGAUGAGAAUUUAAUCAACUACUGUAUUAAGAAAGUGAGGAAGUUAAGCAAACUACUCAAUAUAUCCAGGGUUAAGUAGAAUGUGGUCAUAUGAAUCUGACAGGAGGACACAGCUGGAAUACACUAUUAAGAACUUACAAGCUUUUGAUCGUAUAACAUUUCUUCAUAUCUCAUCUCCGCUCUGCUGAUCCUCAAAUUGUCAACAGAGCAAUCAAACACUAAAUAACAAAUGACACAAAAUGUACAUUUGGUUGGUGUUUCUAUCUGUACUUAGCUCAAACGUGUCUGUUUCCAUUAGGGACAAAAUAUCACCAGUAAUCCCCACAAGAGCAAGUACCAUCCUUGAAAUGAUGGAACCUGCGAACAUCUCUCACAAUGAUCUCCCUCUGUACAAUCUUUGAAAUGAAUUUGCAAGCAGCAUGACAAUCAUUGCAAACUCUAAGAUUCUUGGCUACUCGAAUAAGAGUAAGCUCUUUGUCUGACCCUCUUGUCUUGUUGUCAAAGAGUUUUUCUAUGGCCAUGUUAUGCUUACAGAUGUGUGUUUGCUUAUUGACUGUUUGAUUGUAUGCUUGAUUCUUACGUUCUUCCUUGUGUUUGUGUCUUUCCUGGUUUUUUUUCCUGUUCAAAAAGUUUGGUUUGCACAAUGGGAAUGAAAUUUUUUGAGAAUUUUUGUCUUUUUUUUUUUCUAUGCGAACAAAUUUUGCAUGACAAGAGAGCAAAUUUUGAAAUUGUAUGCGUGACAUGAGAAAGAUUUGAUUGUUGCAUGGUCCCAAAUCUGGGAUAUGUUAUGGUGGUUCUUGCCAGCAAGAAGUAAAAAUGGUUCAUAUCCUGCUAGGGGAAGGUUGUGAGAUGAGAUGAAUAUAUUCCAGAUAAUUGCUUUAACUUCAUAUAUUUGUAUGCUUCCUUGUCCUGCUGAAAUCUCAAUUUUCCCUUCUUAAUGAGGGAAGACUCUGAAUUUGAAUGGUUUCUAAAUUUACCUUUACUGUGUUGAUAUAAUGAGAAAGGUUUAAUAUCUGUCUUGCUGAUCAAACAAAUUUGUCUUCUGUUCUAUACCUUUCCUUCAAGAAUGCUGCUAAGAGUUGUAUCUAGAUUUGCUGGAGUUUUUUAAGGUUUGAGAAGUGUCUGUAAGUCAUGAUAUCGCUGAAAAAUGAAAUGAAAAUGACUCGUAAAUCUGAAUAAUGAGGUUAUGUUGAAACAUUGUCCCACGAUAAUGUGGAGAGGUUCUCUAUGGAAAGAUAAGAUAACAAUCGAGCAUGUUGAUGAGGCAAAGAUGUACUUUUGAAAUUGUUUGUGCAUAUUACGUGAGCACUACUAUGAUAGAAUUUCAUACAAUUGAUUCUGUUGAUAUGUUUUUGUAGUCCUCUCAUAUUCGAACAAUUGUUUUGAGGAGGCAUCUCUCAACAUACAGCAAAGCAGGUUUUCAUAAACAUGCUCAAUGAAUACAGUGAAAACUUCCAAACUUUUAAUGAUGGUAUAGAUGAAUUCCUGUUUUUGAUAAACGAUUCAGGUGGUUUUUUGGAGUAAGCUAAGAAAUACAAACUUAGGACAAGAAUGAGUUAACAAAGUUUGAAUGAGGAGAUGUACUUUUCUUUUCUUUUUUGUGUAAACCAGUGUCCAGUGACCGCAUUGGGCCCUGACUAAUCUGGAGUCGAGCAAUAAUGAAUGACUGUAAUGAAUGAUUGAACUCGGCUACAUUUUGGCUCCGUACGGAUUGGAACUUUUUUUCAAAAGCCGUUUUUGUUUGUGGAGUCUACAGUACCAAGUCCUUGUUACUUCUGCUUCUAACAUUGAAUGAUUAUAAUAAAUGAUUGGGCAAUAAUGAUGUUUUAGCAUACGAGUUAUUCUGUGUGAAAGUAAUGUGAUGUUUCUUGUGCCUUUUACCUUAAAUAGGAUUAUGUGUUGAUCUAGCUAAAUGGCGAAGAUUAUGUGUUUCAUAUACCAUGUGGGAUGUAACCGAAUGUUCUUGCUCCUAGUGCAUGGGAUUCAGUGGAUUGGGUUCAUAGAUCUUCACUGCAUGAUCCAUCACGUGAUCUAUCUUCUUUAGCUUUUUCCUCAUAUUUACUUUCUUAAGACACAGUUGAAGAAUCUACCUUAUGGCCAACCCCAGAGAAAUAUGAAACCGCCCCAUCUUUUCCAUUUAAAUUUGUCCUGUGCAUCAGCAUCAGUUGUUUACCAUCCCUCUUCCUUGUAAUGCUGACACACACAAUGGAGACAAUUGGGCAUUGAUGUCUUCACCAAACCUAUAUUUACUUACUACAUCUUCUUGCUUCUUUGGACCUUCUUGUUGGAAGCUGUACUUACUACAGAUACUUGCUUCUUUGGAGCUUGUCUCCUUUCAUUAAUCUUGUUUGGAAUCUUACUUAACCAUUGCCUCCUUUCACUUAUCCUGGAUGUAGUGGUGAAGUAUGCCAUACCUCCUGUUUGAGCUAUGUAGUUAAUGGGUUGAUACUGGUCUAAUGGCAUGGUUAUGUUUGUAUAUUUGGCAGGCGCCUGGAGAAGCUUGAGAUGUUAAAACGUCGUGGAAAAGGACCACCGAAGAAGGGUCAAGGAAAGAAAGCUGCAAAGCGCAACAAAGUCAGCACCCCUGGGAAAUAGUGACUUUGUCUUGGAGUUGAAUGUGUUCCAAGGAAAAUUUAGACUAAUUGCAUUGGAAAAAUGGGUACCUAUUGAUGGUUGUCCAGUCAUAUUCUGAGCUACUAUGUUGAUAUUGCCACAAGUUUUUUUGGGCUGACUUCAAUGACAAUGGGUACGAUCUUCAGGAUAUUGUAGAAUUAUCUUUUUUGGUCUAUAGUUCCAUUCUCUUCAUUUUUCUUUCCUCGUCCUCCUGUAGUAAACUAUGAUGCUCGUAUGGCAGCAUUGCUGGGUCUCUGUUCUGUAGUACAGACUAACUUGUAUCUAAUUUUAACGCUGCUAGGCCUCUGGCCUGGUAGUCACCACCAUGCGGGAGAACCCUUGACCUUCCACCAAAAUUUGCCACAAUAUGUGGCGGUUUUAAUUGGUUUCCUUCAAUCGAGUCUAUAUUCAGAUUGAAUCCCCC